ACAGCGCCUGCUAUUACUGCUCCUGACCGGGUCGUCCUUUCCUCGUCUGCUCUUCUCUGGCUCUUGCCUCGGCUCCCAGUUCACUUCUCCCCUGCCUGCGCCAUCCUUCUCUUCAUCGUCCGAUGCCCAUCGGCAGGUGACAAGGACGGGAAUCAGCGCCGUCGUGGUGCAGUGGAGCUGCUGGGAAGAAGCAGGACGGCGGCUGCACCCCGUGGGGUGCUGGUGGAGGGCGCACGCAGUCCAUGGGGUGCGCGCACGGCAAGUGCUGCCUGCCGCGGGGCGACGGCGGAGGGGGGCGGGAAGGCGGUGGCGUGCCUGGCGGCCGCGGCGGCUCCACCCUCGGCCGCGCCGUGGUGCCGGGCGCGGGCCUGGCGCUGUAGUACGCCACGCUGACGGUGGACGGCCACUACCCGGGCUCCCCAGGCCGGGCGUCACAGGAUGCGUACCUCGUGGCCACGCGCUUCGCGGGCGUCCCCGAUCUCCACCUCUUCGCGGUCUUCGACGGCCACGGGCCUGCGGAGCCGCCAGCUCCGGGUUCGCGUGGGACGGGCUCCCCCGCCUCCUCCUCCUCUUCGCGGCCGAGGAUGCCGCCUCCGGAGGGAGCCUCCUCGCGUCGGACCCCGCGGCGGUGUUCCGGGUGGCUAUGGUCGGGGUCAACGAGGAGAUGCACGCGGCGGCGGCCGUGGACGACUCCAUGAGCGGGGCCACCGCCGUCGCGGCGCUCAUGGCCGGUGGCGCGCUUCAUGUGGCCAACGUCGGGGACUCGCGCGCCAUGGCCGGGGUCUGGCGCGACGGCCGCGUCGCCGCCUACGAGCUGUCGUGGGACCAGGCACCGUUCCGCGCCGACGAGCGUGCGCUCGUCAUGUCCGUCGAGCAGGUGGAGGGCGUCCACGACCCCGGCCGAGGGCUAGCUCGCCUACGAGGGGUACCCCGCCUCGCGUCUGUGCUCGGCCCGCGAUGGGCUCUACCCGGGCACGACCUUCACGCACAUUCUCGGCGACCUCCCCGCCGAGGGCGUCGGGGUCGACCCUGAGGUGAACGCCGUGGAGAUCACCCCAGCCCACCUCUUCUUCGUCGUCACAAGCGAUGGCGUGUUCGAGUUCCUCUCCAGCCAAGAAGUCGUCAACAUGCAUAAAUAGACGGUGCAGAAUGUCCGCCCAACCUCGCCGUAUUUGGGUAAGCAGAAUUUGUUCUCUACGCCUACAAGGUGUUUGAUGAAAAUCACAGAAGGCUGGCAGGGGAGGAUUGGUCUAUGAGCUUUGAUAAGGCUGCUCACCAAUGAGCUGGACGUGUUUUUGUCCUGGGUACUUGCAUGAUGGAAGAAGAAAUUGGGUAUUCCUAAAUGUGCUACUGCAGAUCAAAGGUGAAUUCAUCCCAUUUUCUUACUUCAAUCUCAGGUUAUGUGAGGAGGUGAGGAUAAUAAUAAUUGAAUGAACAUUGUUUGAGAUCCACCUGACUCAUCCCAAGUUUUGCUAGGUUUGCCUCAUGCUGUUUAUAUUUUGUGCUUGUGUGUAAACAGGUUGGCGGCUUAAUUGACCCAGGUUUUGUAACAUAUCAAUGGUGAGCGAUGGCAUAAACGGAUCUGGUCGUUUUAGUUUUGCUAGACCAUGAUUGUUAUUAAGCAUGAAUGUACAGUUAUAUUCUUUUACGGAUGCAGUUUGGCAGUUUUGAUUCCAUUUGAUGUAUUACCUAAAAUACUCUCAUUACCUUGAUCUUUUAAUUCCAUUUGAAGGCAGAUUUGAUUUUGUCUUGGGAGUAACAAGGAAGAAGGGUCAGUUUAUGUUCUGGACUAAUCACAAAAAAGGAUGCCACUGAAUAUAUUUGACCUGAUGUGAGGAAAAGAGAGCAUUUGUACUGGUGGGUUUGAUUUGUUAAUCCAGUGGGGUACAGCCUGGUGGAACCAUGCAAAUGACGAUCUUCGUUUCUCAGGCUGUAUUAGCGCUUAGCAAACUUCUUUGUGCCGCCGCCUGCGCUUUCCCCUUCCAUCUCCGCCGCCUCGUCUCCUCCUUCACCACCACCCCCUCCCCUGCCUCCGUACCCCAAGAUGGAGGAGCUCCCCAAGGCCAUUGUGUGGCUGCUGCUCAAGGACAAGCUCGCCCGGGUCACCGUGGCCGGCGCCGGCGAAGGUGUCAUGAACAAGGACACCAUGGCCGCCUUCACCGAAAGCGCCCGCAUCUUCAUCCACUGCCUCUCCACCACAUUGGUUGAUGCAAAAACUGCAACUGGAGGCCUUGUUGUUUGGACCCAAAUGACAUCUCUAGGUGACUGUACACAAAUGCGUCUUUAACUUUUACAUCCAGGUUUUAGAAUUCAUCGAAGAUUGCAGGGUAACUAAUUGCACCUUAUGGAGAAGGAGCAGGCCGUGGAGGAGUGCAUGUAGCAGGUUCCCGGUGACUGCAAAUCUGAAAUUGAAGAUAGGGCAGAUUGUAUUGGUUCUGCUUGCUUGCAGAACUUGUGGUAUGCUGGCCAUGGAGUAGUCAGACCCUGCCAAGAAAGAGGAGCAGGAGAUGAGGAGCGCAACAUUUAGUGUACAAUGGUGCAUGAUAUGGCAGUUAGGAUCAGGACACGAGGAACACGACACUGGGUGUAUGAAAGAUUAGUAGGAAGAAUGUUAAUCACAGUGUGAAAAGAAAAUGCGAGCUCGGCUGAUGUAUUGCGUACUAUUUGGCUGAGUUGUUUUGUCCUAAAGAUACAAUUAAGCUGAAGAAUCCUUUUUGUAUGGAAAUUCACUAUGGAAAUCGAAACAAUGGUACUCUGCACAACCGUUUACUUUCUUGCAUCGGUUCUUCAUUCUGUAAGUGAAACCUUUUCUAUUUGGUAAAAUAAGAGUGAGCUCAUGCUUGAACUUCCACCAUGUAUGUUAAACACUUGGAUGCUGUAUCAACCCAGUAAUCCUCUGAUCCUUCAUUGUUUUCCCUUGCAUUGCCUCCUUUAACUAUUCAGCAGGACCUUUGAAAAGAAUGAUUUUUCAGUUAUAUAAUUUAUUAUGUUUUGUCUCGCCUUCGAGAGGUAGAAUGUAAAGUAGGCUGGUAUUUUCAUUCCGUUAGAUAUUUGAUAUAAGUGAAUAUAUACCUUUCGGUAGGUGAAUGUGCUCUCCAUUAAUAUCACUCAUAUAUUUGAGCUUCAGAGAAGGAUAUCUAUGCCAUUUUGUUUUUGUUUUUUGAACAAAAGAGUGUUGUAUGUAUAUCGUUAAGAGGAUGAAGCAGCAAAAUUAUCUACGCAGUUUAGCAGGAUAUGGCUG
rnacentral:rRNA from 1 species